rnacentral:rRNA from 1 species
CCUACGGGAGGCAGCAGUAGGGAAUAUUGGGCAAUGGGCGAAAGCCUGACCCAGCCACGCCGCGUGCAGGAAGGCGGCCCUCUGGGUUGUAAACUGCUUUUAACUGGGAAGAAAGAAGCCCAUGCGUGGGAAGUUGACGGUACCAGUUGAAUAAGCCACGGCUAACUACGUGCCAGCAGCCGCGGUAAUACGUAGGUGGCAAGCGUUAUCCGGAUUUAUUGGGUUUAAAGGGUGCGUAGGCGGUUUAAUAAGUCAGUGGUUAAAGGUAGCAGCUUAACUGUUUUACAUGCCACUGAUACUGUUGAACUUGAGUUGACAGAAGGCAGAUAGAAUUUCUGGUGUAGCGGUGAAAUGCUUAGAUACCAGAAGGAAUACCGAUUGCGAAGGCAGUCUGCUGCAGUCACACUGACGCUGAGGCACGAAAGUGCGGGGAUCAAACAGGAUUAGAUACCCUGGUAGUCCGCACAGUAAACGAUGAUUACUAGAUGUUGGCCAAGCCAGUGUCCAAGGGAAACCGAUAAGUAAUCCACCUGGGGAGUACGCCGGCAACGGUGAAACUCAAAUGAAUUGACGGCUGAGACCGNGCGAGACGACACGAGGGAGAGG